CUUGUUGUUGUUGUUGUUAUUUUAAUGUUACUGUCUUUCUCCCCUCCUUCCCUUAAACCAGGAGGAACCGGGAGGAGGAUGAGUUGCUACUGCUGUUUGGUUUGGUGUCUCUCUUUUUUCUUCAGCCAUUUCACAUGUUUUAUUCUUAAAUACUUGGUUGUUUUUCGGUUUCCUCUCGUC